rnacentral:tRNA from 1 species
GCCUGGCUAGCUCAAUCGGUAGAGCGUGAGACUCUUACAAUCUCAAGGCUGUGGGUUCAAGCCCCACGUCGGGCU